rnacentral:misc_RNA from 1 species
AAAGGUGCAUGAGUGGUGUUUGGUUUUGUCCGGGUGGUUGGCUCUUUGCUUGCGCAACAACUUCCACCUGGCAUACCUCUUCAGUUUUGGGCCAAGGUUUUUAUUGCCUUGAAUGCGUGUGGUUUACUGUGUUGUAUACCUAUGUGACGGUAUUGAUGGAUUCAUCAUCUCCCAUUCAUCUUUCGUCAUGCAUGUGGCGUGAGAUGAACCUUAAAACGAUCUCUUUGGUCUACCUUGUUGACGUAUAACGUUCAUAUUGUGGCCCAUUGAGCAUUGCUUGGUUUUGUGGAUACAGAAUAUGAUGUGGGCAUGGGGUCUUACAUGAUCCUUGUUUUGUCCUAGUUGAACGUUCUUGUUUCUCUAAGAUGACUGCUAGCUCGAAUUGGCUUGUACCAUCGGGUGGGAUAUGUUGUCGAAGAGAGAUGGCGUUCUUGCUUCUCGAAA